rnacentral:snRNA from 1 species
GCAGCAUCUUGGCCUUUUGGCUAAGAUCAAGCAUUUUUGGCACCAAGAGGAGGGUGUCAGGGCUGACUCUGACCCUCCCAGUGCUGGCUUGGUAUUGCAGUACCUCCAGGCCUGGUGCCAGUUCC